rnacentral:rRNA from 1 species
ACGGGGGGAGCAAGCGUUGUUCGGAUUUACUGGGCGUAAAGGGCGCGUAGGCGGUCAGCACAAGUCAGUUGUGAAAUCUCCGAGCUUAACUCGGAAAGGUCAACUGAUACUGUGCGACUAGAGUGCAGAAGGGGCAACUGGAAUUCUCGGUGUAGCGGUGAAAUGCGUAGAUAUCGAGAGGAACACCUGCGGCGAAGGCGGCUCGCUGGACCGGUUCUGACGCUGAGGCGCGAAAGCGUGGGGAGCAAACGGGA